UUGUGGGCUUAGCUAAUUGGGGGAGGAAGAGCAGCACCUGGGGGCUGGGACGCAGCCUCGUCACUGCCCAUUUGCUCUCAGAGGACAGGCUGGCGGAGAGAAGGAGCUAAGAGGUGGAACAGCCAGAGCAAACAGUCCCUGUGGAGCUCAGAACUGCCCUCUAAAUUGGAUCUGAACUUCAGCUCCGUCUCCCUCUAUUUGGACUGAAGAUAUGUGGCACGUCUCGUGUGCCCCAGUGAUUCUAAUUUCUACUCAGGAUCAGCCUUUCCUUGGUGAAUGAUUCAGCAUUUUACCAUCUGACAUUUUAAGAGAACCACUUUGCUAUUAAACUGAAGCCGUAUAUUAAAGUUAAACCCCGAAGCAAGCACGGGUUCAACAGAGGUUAGACAAAGAUAAGACCAUUUGUCACACCUACCAGCCUGCGAAGUGCACAGCAGAAAUGAAAUAAGAUUCCAGAGCCAGAGCCGGCUGGGCCUGUGCCUACAAAUUCUAAUGGACAGAAACUGCCCUUGGAGGCGGCUGUGGCUCUGGCUUCCGUGGACCCGCUCUCGCUGUUCAUAGACGAGGUGGAGGGACCCGAGGCCUGAGUCAGGACAGCUACUUGAAGGCAGCUUAAAAGUUAAACUUCCAGAUUGGGAAGCUGUACAUUGGAGAUCCCGUUCAAGGACCUGGAGCUUCCUCUCUGAGCCAAGAAGACGCCUGACUCCCCCUGGUCCUCCAAUGACUCCAUCGCCACAGGGACUGCCAGCAACGCUGGCGUCAGAACACCAGAGCCAGGCUACAACUCCAGGGCUUUCAGGACCGGCUGAGAAAUAAUGGCUGUCACUGCAUCGACGUGCUCUUUCCAAAUGCACAAAACAGGAAGGUGACCUGCCGACUCAGUGGAAGGCAAUAAACCACACAUUCAAUUAGAAUGACAUACAUUUAAUCACAGUUGUCUAAUGGUAUUUGAGAUUUCUUAUUUAAUCAGCAAUGAGACGACCUAGCAAUUAAUGUUGCUGAAAUCGUGGCCCUCCUUACCAGUGCCAUGUUGAUUUUAAACUAAUCUUUUUAUUUUAUAUCCUCUUUCUA